AUUGAACGCUGGCGGCGUGCCUAACGCAUGCAAGUCGAGCGGCAGCGGGCCCGCAAGGGUGCCGGCGAGCGGCGAACGGGUGAGCAAUACAUAGGAAUCUGCCUCAGAGCGGGGGAUAGCCAGGGGAAACCCUGAUUAAUACCGCAUGAUGUCGAGAGACCAAAGUGGGGGACCGUAAGGCCUCACACUCUGAGAUGAGCCUAUGUCGGAUUAGCUAGUUGGCGGGGUAACGGCCCACCAAGGCGACGAUCCGUAGCUGGUCUGAGAGGACGAUCAGCCACACCGGAACUGAGACACGGUCCGGACUCCUACGGGAGGCAGCAGUGGGGAAUAUUGGACAAUGGGCGAAAGCCUGAUCCAGCGACGCCGCGUGGGUGAAGAAGGCCUUCGGGUUGUAAAGCCCUUUAAGCCGGGACGAAAAAAUCGGCGAUAACAUCGCCGGUCUUGACGGUACCGGAAGAAUAAGCACCGGCUAACUCUGUGCCAGCAGCCGCCGUAACAC
rnacentral:rRNA from 1 species